rnacentral:rRNA from 1 species
CAGUAGCCGCGGGAAUACGUAGGUGGCAAGCGUUGUCCGGAAUUAUUGGGCGUAAAGGGCUCGCAGGCGGUUUCUUAAGUCUGAUGUGAAAGCCCCCGGCUCAACCGGGGAGGGUCAUUGGAAACUGGGAAACUUGAGUGCAGAAGAGGAGAGUGGAAUUCCACGUGUAGCGGUGAAAUGCGUAGAGAUGUGGAGGAACACCAGUGGCGAAGGCGACUCUCCGGUCUGUAACUGACGCUGAGGAGCAAAAGCGUGGGGAGCGAACAGGAUUAGAUACCCCGGUAGUCCCUGUCUCUUAUAA